CAGCGGCGCAACACACAUUGAAUCUCGGCUUCUUCUUCCAAAUCUCAUUCAUCUCUCAUUCAUAAAGGUAAGUAUCAUUCAUGUGUUCCAGACUUUGAGAUCCGUUUUUUUCAUGGAUUGUUGUUUCCGUAAAUGUUAUUUCACAUUCCAAAUCACAGAAUCCGGUAGAUUUUCGAAUUUGGGAAUCUGGUACUUUCCCGGAUUUGUGGAUCCGGUAGUUUCCCGGAUGUGAGGAUCCGUCACCUUUCCGGAUUUGUUGAUCCGGUAGUAGUCCGAAUUUGGUUAUCCGGUAGUAUUCCAGAUUUAUGAAUCCGGUAGUGUUUAUAUGUAGCAAAAGCUUUAAUUCGUAAAUGGUUAUUGAAGUAGGAAAACCAUUAGACCUCUGUUUACUAUUCCUCUAUUUUUUUUGCUUCGUUUUUUUUGCUUGGAACUUCUCCUUUACCUCUAAAAAUAGCUAAGCAUUUUCGACAGCCAAGGAAAGGUUCAUCAAAUGUUCAUGUAUACUUUAUAAAAGAUUAGAAUUAGAUGACAUGUACACUGUUAGUGCAGGGUACCACAUGCAAAUUUAUGCAGGUUUAUCAAUAUAAGCUGAAUAUAACUUGAAUGGUGUAAUUGAACAGAAAUGGUGAAGACUAGGGGAGGAGGUUCACAAGGUGAUCGUCUACGUCCCACAACCUCUGUUAGAAGAAGAAGACAUGUUAAUGAAGAUGAAGAACAUGUUGAACAUGAAGGUGCAGAAGAUGUUGAUGUUGAACUUGAAGAAGCUGAACCCCAAAUGGAGGUGGAGGAUGAAGACGCACCUGAAAUAGAAGGUGAAGGUUAUCCUGGAGGUCCACGGGAU
rnacentral:lncRNA from 1 species